GACAGCAGCCGCCGCGGUAAAACGGAGGGGGCUAGCGUUGUUCGGAAUUACUGGGCGUAAAGCGCACGUAGGCGGCUUGGUAAGUUAGAGGUGAAAGCCUGGAGCUCAACUCCAGAAUUGCCUUUAAGACUGCAUCGCUUGAAUCCAGGAGAGGUGAGUGGAAUUCCGAGUGUAGAGGUGAAAUUCGUAGAUAUUCGGAAGAACACCAGUGGCGAAGGCGGCUCACUGGACUGGUAUUGACGCUGAGGUGCGGAAGCGUGGGGAGCAAACAGGAUUAGAUACCCCAGUAGUCCCUGUCUCUUAUAC
rnacentral:rRNA from 1 species